rnacentral:rRNA from 1 species
AUUGAACGCUGGCGGCAGGCCUAACACAUGCAAGUCGAACGGUAGCACAGAGAGCUUGCUCUCGGGUGACGAGUGGCGGACGGGUGAGUAAUGUCUGGGAAACUGCCCGAUGGAGGGGGAUAACUACUGGAAACGGUAGCUAAUACCGCAUAAUGUCGCAAGACCAAAGAGGGGGACCUUCGGGCCUCUUGCCAUCGGAUGUGCCCAGAUGGGAUUAGCUUGUUGGUGAGGUAAUGGCUCACCAAGGCGACGAUCCCUAGCUGGUCUGAGAGGAUGACCAGCCACACUGGAAGGUAGACACGGACCAUGCGCCUACGGGAGGCAGCAGUGGGGAAUAUUGCACAGUGGGCGCAAGCCUGAUGCAGCCAGGCCGCGUGUGUGAAGAAGGCCUUCGGGUUGUAAAGCACUUUCAGCGGGGAGGAAGGCAAUGCGGUUAAUAACCGUGUUGAUUGACGUUACCCGCAGAAGAAGCACCGGCUAACUCCGUG